rnacentral:rRNA from 1 species
AUUGGAGGGCAAGUCUGGUGCCAGCAGCCGCGGUAAUUCCAGCUCCAAUAGCGUAUAUUAAAGUUGUUGCAGUUAAAAAGCUCGUAGUUGAAACUUGGGCCUGGCUGGCAGGUCCGCCUCACCGCGUGUACUUGUCCGGCCGGGCCUUUCCUUCUGGAGAACCUCAUGCCCUUCACUGGGUGUGCUGGGGAACCAGGACUUUUACUUUGAAAAAAUUAGAGUGUUCAAAGCAGGCCUUUGCUCGAAUACGUUAGCAUGGAAUAAUAGAAUAGGACGUGCGGUCCUAUUUUGUUGGUUUCUAGGACCGCCGUAAUGAUUAAUAGGGACGGUCGGGGGCAUCAGUAUUCAAUUGUCAGAGGUGAAAUUCUUGGAUUUAUUGAAGACUAACUACUGCGAAAGCAUUUGCCAAGGAUGUUUUCAUUAAUCAGUGAACGAAAGUUAGGGGAUCGAAGACGAUCAGAUACCGUCGUAGUCUUAACCGUAAACUAUGCCGACUAGGGAUCGG